rnacentral:tRNA from 1 species
GGGUUAUAUUUUAAUUUUAAAAUAUAUGCUUUGCAAGCAUGAGAUUUUUAGCUCUA